AGGACGAACGCUGGCGGCGUGCCUAAUACAUGCAAGUAGAACGCUGAAGGAGGAGCUUGCUCUUCUGGAUGAGUUGCGAACGGGUGAGUAACGCGUAGGUAACCUGCCUGGUAGGCGGGGGAUAACUAUUGGAAACGAUAGCUAAUACCGCAUAAGAGUAGAUGUUGCAUGACAUUUGACUUAAAAGGUGCAAUUGCCACCACUACCAGAUGGACCUGCGUUGUAUUAGCUUAGUUGGUGAGGUAACGGCUACACCAAGGCGACGAUACAUACGCCGACCUGAGGAGGGUGAUCGGCCACGACGUGGGACUGAGACCACGGCCAGACUCCGAGGGAGCAGCGAGUAGGAAUCGUCGACAAGUGGACGGAAGU
rnacentral:rRNA from 1 species